rnacentral:lncRNA from 1 species
CGUAAAGCACCACCUGCAUUAAUAUUUUUUUAUUCAUAUUGUCCACAGCCCCCCCACCAGCAUCCCUGGCUGACAGGAGACUCCCACGCCAAACCCAACGGGAGAGCAGGCGCAGGGCGAAGGUGGAGGAGGAGGGGAGGACGAGACAGGGGGACAGAGAGCAAGAGGAAAGAAUGGCAGAGAAACAUGCAGGCCCCCAGCCCCAAGGGCCACCCAGACGUGCACGGAGGAGGCAGGAGAGUAACACCAAACCACCCAGGGACCACGAGAGCACCCGAAAGGGACGCACGCCCGCGCAGAGGCACCCAAAACACCCCAGCAAGCCACCCAGAUGUGAUUGAUCCACUGAAGCAGAGGAUGAAUGCUGUAACCAUCACUGCUGUGUUACACAUGGACCAAAGUUUCCUCUCAGCCUGUUGUUAAUAGAAAUGAAACACUUUCUCAUCUGCUUUGCUUCAGUUCAUUUAGGGCCAACAUUGUUGAAUUGAUUGAUCACCACAUUUGACACUACACAGAUAUACAGUAUGUAUGAAUAACGUGCUUCAAGUAGAGAAAAUAAGACAUGAAAGCAUUAGAAAAUGAGUGUUUUUCCUCUUUUUUAAUGUAAUAUCUUUAUGUAGGUCAAACAGUCAAACAUUGUUUUGUGU